rnacentral:sRNA from 1 species
UUUAUUUCUAAAGAAGGCCCAUCACUUUUUAGGUCAUAUAUAUAGUUUUAAAGGUCAUUGUUUAGACCUAAGCUUGUAGAGACUAUUUUCCUCAUCUCUUUUGUACUUUGGGAGCAAAACCCUAUGGAGACUCCCUUUGGAGAAGAUCUUCUUUACUCUUUCUCUUGUUAUUAUUGAUUUCUUAUUCAUACUAUGAUUUGUGUUUCUUUGAUCAUGUCUGAGUAAUCCACUUGUUAGGUGUAGGGUUUCUCAUUAGGGAUUCAUAUUGUUUAGUAGAUCCCCCUUUGUUAGGUUAUCUGUAGAAUUCUUUAUCUUUAAUUGUUCUAAAUGCUAGAUCUACAUUGAUCACCUAGAACUUGAAUCCAAACCAUUUUUAUGCCCACCAUAGGUAUCUUUAGUUGGAUCUAUUAUUUGAUGAGCCUGGUUUAUAGGUGUGUAAUAAGAAUCGGCCUAUCUUCUAAGGUGAACAAUUGAACCCGUUUAGAAUGCAUGUUUAGGUUAAAGAUCUCUCGGCUUCUCCGGUUAUUCUUAGCUAUAGGCAUAGGGAGUUUCACGGAACACCACUGGUUAUUCUAUAAUUAGAGUUUGAGUUUAAGAAUGGUUCGAUAACAACCUAGCUAUUAUUAGAUCUACAAACCAAUUGUUUCCUGAGAAUACCCUAAGCCUAACGUUUUUACUUUCUUGUCUUACAACCUCACAAAGUCACAAUCUGCUAUUGCUUCCUUUUGUUUCUUUUUAUUUUCAUUACUAUCUUACUUAGCUUAAUUCAAAACCUUGGUCUAUUGUGUGAUUUGAGAGCUUUGUGGAAUUCGACACUUAAGUGCUACAAUCGAUCUCUUAUUUGAGAGAGUGGUCUUAAGGCAAUUUGACAUAUAUCACUACUUCUAGAGUAGCUAAAUAGAACUUGAUCUCAGAUAAUUGAUAUACCCGCCAUAGGUAUCUGUUACUAAAACUACUAUUUGAUGAGCCUGGUUUAUAGAUGUGUAAUAAGAAUCGGCCAAUCUACUAAGGUGAACUUAUCGAACUCGUUUAGCAUGCAUGUUUAGGUAUAGGGGUUCACGGCACGCCACCAGGAACCUUAGCUCUCGGCAUAGUGAAUUUCAAGGAACGCCACCGGUUAUUGUGAUAUUAGAGUUUGAGUUUAAAAACAGUUCAAUAACAACCUAGCUAUUUCUAGAUCUACUAUCAUCUAUUUCGUGAGAAUAUCCUAAGCCUAACGUUUUAAUUAUCUUAGUUUACAUCCAUCUCAUAAUUUGCUUAUGCUUUCUUUUGAUUUUCUUAUCUUUAGUUUAGCUUAAUUCGAUAACCUUAGUCUAUUGUGAGAUUCGAUAACGUUGCAGAUUCGACCCUUAAGUACUACAAUCGAUCUCUUAUUUGAGAGAGUGGUCGUAAGGCAAUUUGACCUACAUCAAGUACUCAGUGUUGGCUUUACCGGAGCGAAAUGAGCCUUAUGUUGUGU